rnacentral:rRNA from 1 species
UACGGAGGGUGCAAGCGUUGUCCGGAUUUAUUGGGUUUAAAGGGUGCGUAGGCGGUUCGUUAAGUCCGGGGUGAAAGCCCACUGCUCAACAGUGGAACUGCCCUGGAAACUGGCGAACUUGAGUACAGACGAGGGUGGCGGAAUGGAUGGUGUAGCGGUGAAAUGCAUAGAUACCAUCCAGAACCCCGAUUGCGAAGGCAGCUGCCUAGACUGUAACUGACGCUGAGGCACGAAAGCGUGGGGAGCGAACAGG